rnacentral:rRNA from 1 species
GAUGAACGCUGGCGGCGUGCCUAAUACAUGCAAGUUGAGCGAACAGACGAGGAUCUUGCUCCUCUGACGUUAGCGGCGGACGGGUGAGUAACACGUGGAUAACCUACCUAUAAGACUGGGAUAACUUCGGGAAACCGGAGCUAAUACCGGAUAAUAUAUUGAACCGCAUGGUUCAAUAGUGAAAGACGGUUUUGCUGUCACUUAUAGAUGGAUCCGCGCCGCAUUAGCUAGUUGGUAAGGUAACGGCUUACCAAGGCAACGAUGCGUAGCCGACCUGAGAGGGUGAUCGGCCACACUGGAACUGAGACACGGUCCAGACUCCUACGGGAGGCAGCAGUAGGGAAUCUUGCGCAAUGGGCGAAAGCCUGACGGAGCAACGCCGCGUGAGUGAUGAAGGUCUUCGGAUCGUAAAACUCUGUUAUUAGGGAAGAACAAAUGUGUAAGUAACUAUGCACGUCUUGACGGUACCUAAUCAGAAAGCCACGGCUAACUACGUG